rnacentral:rRNA from 1 species
CCAACAGGGAUUGCCCUAGUAACGGCGAGUGAAGCGGCAACAGCUCAAAUUUGAAAUCUGGCUCCUUCCGGGGUCCGAGUUGUAAUUUGUAGAGGGUGCUUUGGCGUUGGCCAUGGUCUAAGUUCCUUGGAACAGGGCGUCACAGAGGGUGAGAAUCCCGUACGUGGCCGCUGGCCUUCGCCAUGUAAAGCCCCUUCGACGAGUCGAGUUGUUUGGGAAUGCAGCUCUAAAUGGGAGGUAAAUUUCUUCUAAAGCUAAAUAUUGGCCAGAGACCGAUAGCGCACAAGUAGAGUGAUCGAAAGAUGAAAAGCACUUUGGAAAGAGAGUCAAAAAGCACGUGAAAUUGUUGAAAGGGAAGCGCUUGCAGCCAGACUUGCCCGUAGUUGCUCAUCCAGGUUUCGGCCCGGUGCACUCUUCUGCGGGCAGGCCAGCAUCAGUUCAGGCGGUCGGAUAAAGGUUUCGGGAAUGUGGCUCUCUUCGGGGAGUGUUAUAGCCCGGGGCGUAAUGCGACCAGCCUGGACUGAGGUCCGCGCAUCUGCUAGGAUGCUGGCGUAAUGGCUGUAAGCGGCCCGUCUUGAAACACGGACCAAGGAGUCUAACAUCUAUGCGAGUGUUUGGGUGUCAAGCCCGAGCGCGUAAUGAAAGUGAACGGAGGUGGGAACCCGCAAGGGCGCACCAUCGACCGAUCCUGAUGUCUUCGGAUGGAUUUGAGUAAGAGCAUAGCUGUUGGGACCCGAAAGAUGGUGAACUAUGCCUGAAUAGGGUGAAGCCAGAGGAAACUCUGGUGGAGGCUCGCAGCGGUUCUGACGUGCAAAUCGAUCGUCAAAUUUGGGCAUAGGGGCGAAAGACUAAUCGAACUAUCU